ensembl:lncRNA
UGGGUAUCAGGGCUCCCUGGGGAAGGCUGUGCCGGGCAGUGAGCCCAACUUAGGCUGUGAAGGAUAGUGGAGGUGCAGGAGGGAGCCCUGGCCCCCUUCCUCCACCUUCUGAAGUGGCCUGGGUCUCACAGAGCCAGAUUGCCAACCCAUCCUGCAAUAAAUAGCCUUGGUCUUGCUUCCUCCUAAAGUUUCCUGGGGUGGCCUGGCCUCCUGGAGGUCAGGGAUCAAGGGCUGUCAGAAGGGAAGUCACAGUGGCUUCCACAGCCUACAUCUCAGCACAGCCCAGGCCUCCACCCCCUGCUUUCUCUGCCCACCAGUCCAGCUGUGGCCCUGGGGACAGGGCUGGCCCCUCUCAGAGAGCUGGGUCAAUAUUUGUUGAGUGACUAAGUGACUGACUCAGCAUAAAUGCCAGCGCCCGCCAAGCGCUGAGGUAUGUUCUGCUGGGCCAGGCGGGGACAGGGAUUGAGUUACAGUGGCAAUGGGCAGAGCCGGGCCCCAUGCCAAGCCCAGCACUGCCCACAGGCAGGGUGAAGGCAGGAGCAGUUUCCAGCAGGUAGGCUGGGGGGGGAAGAGACUCCCGGGGCCAGGGUGGGAGGGCUGCUCCGAAUCAGGAGCGUACCACGUGGGGUCACUGGGCCCAGGGUUGCCCAGGGGCCUGACAGAGCUGGGGAGGCAGCGGAGCCAACCAGCAGGUACCUCAGGAGGAGGAAGUUCACACCCCGGGGGAAGGGGGAAGGGGGGGAUGAAGAGACCCCGGGAAGGGAGGGGGCCCCAGGGAGAGAAGGGGGCACCUGAACCGGAGGAGAACCCAGGGGACCGAUAGGGGCGUCUGGAGGGAGAAGCAUGCACAGUGGGGCGGGGGAGUCACGAGAGAAGGGGCGCUGGGGAGAGAGG